rnacentral:rRNA from 1 species
AACGAACGCUGGCGGCAGGCUUAACACAUGCAAGUCGAACGCCCCGCAAGGGGAGUGGCAGACGGGUGAGUAACGCGUGGGAAUCUACCCAGUUCUACGGAACAACUGAGGGAAACUUCAGCUAAUACCGUAUACGCCUUACGGGGGAAAGAUUUAUCGGAAUUGGAUGAGCCCGCGUUGGAUUAGCUAGUUGGUGGGGUAACGGCUCACCAAGGCGAGGAUACAUAGCUGGUCUGAGAGGAUGAUCAGCCACACUGAGGCUGGGACACGGCCCAGACGCCUGCGGGAGGGAGCAUUGGGGAAUAUUGGACAGUGGGCUGAAGGCUGAUCCAGCCAUGCCGGGUGAGUGAUGAAGGCCUUAGGGUUGUGAAGCUCUUUCAGUGGGGACGUUAUUGACGGUACCCACAGAAGAAGCCCCGGCUAACUUCGUGCCAGCAGCCGCAGUAA